UGGCUCUCGCAUCGAUGAAGAACGCAGCGAAAUGCGAUAAGUAAUGUGAAUUGCAGAAUUCAGUGAAUCAUCGAAUCUUUGAACGCACCUUGCGCUCCUUGGUAUUCCGAGGAGCAUGCCUGUUUGAGUGUCGUGAAAUCUUCAACCUACAAGCUUUUGUAGCUUGUCGGCUUGGACUUGGAGGCUUGUCGGCUUUUAUUGGUCGGCUCUUCUUAAAUACAUUAGCUUGGUUCCUUGUGAAUCGGCUCUCGGUGUGAUAAUAUCUACGCCGCGACCGUGAAGCGUUUGGCAAGCUUCUAACUGUCUCUGUUGAGAGACAACUUUUAUGACCUCUGACCUCAAAUCAGGUAGGACUACCCGCUGA
rnacentral:misc_RNA from 1 species